AUGAAGAAAACCUGUAUAAGUCAUUUUGGAAAAUCCUCCCUUCAAAGUGGUAAAAUAGGGGAUGAAAGUUUGUAUGGGAAAAUUUU